GAUGAACGCUGGCGGCGUGCCUAAUACAUGCAAGUCGAGCGAACAGACGAGGAGCUUGCUCCUCUGACGUUAGCGGCGGACGGGUGAGUAACACGUGGAUAACCUACCUAUAAGACUGGGAUAACUUCGGGAAACCGGAGCUAAUACCGGAUAAUAUAUUGAACCGCAUGGUUCAAUAGUGAAAGACGGUUUUGCUGUCACUUAUAGAUGGAUCCGAGCCGCAUUAGCUAGUUGGUAAGGUAACGGCUUACCAAGGCGACGAUGCGUAGCCGACCUGAGAGGGUGAUCGGCCACACUGGAACUGAGACACGGUCCAGACUCCUACGGGAGGCAGCAGUAGGGAAGCGUCCGCAAUGGGCGAAAGCCUGACGGAGCAACGCCGCGUGAGUGAUGAAGGUCUUCGGAUCGUAAAACUCUGUUAUUAGGGAAGAACAAAUGUGUAAGUAACUAUGCACGUCUUGACGGUACCUAAUCAGAAAGCCACGGCUAACUACGUG
rnacentral:rRNA from 1 species